rnacentral:lncRNA from 1 species
UGGGCUGUAACCCAUCGUAACCCGUGUGUAGGUACGCUUUUGUGAGUGAGCACAUAGAAACUCUUGAAGAGAUUGAUAUGGCACAAAUCUUAUGAGCAAGAGAGUACAUACUGCAUACCAAACAACUCUUUGAAAUUUGAUUCUAAUCAAGUGGAUUUAGGGUUAUUUCUAUUUCAGAGGUUAGAAGCAUCGUUAGGCCUGUUAGGCUAGGUUAUAGAGGUAUAUAAGAGCAAGUCCACUUGUUUAACAUUUCAUGACCCAGGUCAUGGGCCACAUAGGCAUAAUGACCCGGCCUAAGUUUUUUUGCUUCCACCCAUGAAAAAUUUCUCACCCCAACUAUCAUUGGGUCAUCUCUUUGGGUCACCACCAUAACCCAAGUCAUGACUUUGAUGACCCAGGUUAACCCCAAGCCACAUCAGCCGAAGCCCAAAACGUGGCUGACGUCAGCGACAGGACCACUUGAACAAUGCUGGGCUGUCACUCUCCCAAAGGCGCGUGUCACUGCACGAACCAAUGAAUGAAGCUGAUGGGCGCGCGUCCCACACUCCCACACCUGCAAUUGACUUGGAUCAAUAAUUGUUUUUAGCAUUGGAGGUAUUUGACUACCGUAUUUCUUAGUUAACUAAAUGUAAAUAAAUAUAUAUUAAUGUGGGAACCCUUAUUUAUAUUUUUGUAACAUUAACAUAACCUAAAUUCAAUUAUGUUUAUGUUAAUAUUCUAAUUAUGUAAAAUCCUCAUUUACAAUUAAAAAGUAAUAUAAAAUUCUACUUCAUGGUGAUUGUAAUAAUAACCUUUACUUACGUUAUAUAUUCAUAUUAUGUUUAAUAUUUACUAAUUAUUUACAUCUAAAAUCAUGAUUUGUAAUUAAAAACCUAACAUGAAAUAUAAUAUUGUAAAUAUAUACCACGUGGCGACCUAGAAAUAUAAUCCACGGGUGGAAACUUCUACCUAAUUUCAAUGACCUAGAGUGACCCAGGUCACACCUAUGACCCAGGUCAUCCCCCAAUGAUGACCCAACGGGUGAACUUGCUCUAAGAUAUUGUUAUUGACAUCAGGGUUUCUCUGUAUGCUUUAGUGUCCGUACAAUUUUCUGACUGCUAGUCAUGAAAUUGGUUAAACUCCAGAUUACUAGUCCUCAUAAGCGGAUUAGGCAGAGUUGUCAAAAUUAGUAUGAAGUAGAUAGAAACUGAAGAGAUGGCCAAAUUAUCCAUGAAAUUUACUGAUGAAUGGUUAAGUAGACAUAUGGUUGGUCAUCAGUUAUCCAACUGCGGCGCUUCCCUGUAUCGUUAUAAUUUGAUGACUUCUAGCCUCCACUGCUUUCUUUCUGUAUCUGUUCAUAAAUGGAGGUUAUUGUUUGCUAUCUGAGCUUGGCAGUUUCAUAAGUUAAUAUUUUGGAGUUGAGAUGUGGUAUCUGGGAUUGGAUGUCUUUUGUUGUUAAUUGCACACAAGUUGCAUAUCAAUGCAAUUGCACAGGGGAAGGUUCUCCAAUAGACUACACAAGCCAACGUUAUGGUUGUGGCAUAUUAAACUGGUCCGAAGGAAGUUCCCUAUAGUCGUUAUAUCAGCUCAUUUGAUUUCACUGUUGCUUUUCUUUCAUUAUUCCAAGUCCUAGUAGAAGCAUUUGUAUGAUAUUAAGGCCUGGAAUAAGAGGUGCUAAAAGUGCUAGCUCCUUGGUGGCCUGAACACCGGCCAGAAAAGCAUGAAACCGAGCAGGCCAAUGCUGAUGUACACUAACUUGCUGUCGAGUUUCUAUAAAAGAUGAGACGACCAACUUUAGAUGUAUAGGCUCUUUAAUCAGACAAGUUAUGUUAAGAGUGUAAAGCUAUCUUUAUCAUCAUGAUUUCUGAUAACUAAACUACAACUAUGAAAAGAAUUCACCAACACAAUGCAUGAUCACUUCCGUUCACCUGUAUCUCAAUAAGGAAACCCAUCAUACAGAAGGUCUAAGAACACUAUAUUUACUUGAGCACCGCUGCUUUUGGCUACAGAGAAACUGAAAUCAUUGUACGCCUUAUCACUUUCUUUAUAUAAAGGAAACUUGAGUUUAUCAUAUGAAAUCCCAUACUAAAAAGUAAGAGUGUGAAUUAGAUCAAUGACAAAUUCCAGAUAAUAAAAUAUUGUAAGGUGGAUGACCAGAGGUCAAUCUCAAUUAUUCACUCUCUUGCUUCCGUUUUAAAAAAGCAAAAGUUAAACGCAUUUUCAGCACCAGUAACUCUCAGAAGGGAGCACCAAACACUCACUGUAAAGCUUAACCAAAACUACAACUGACUCUUCAAACCAUAGUUUACAGAACAAAAUACUGACAACCAUCACUAAGAAUUAAAUCGACAAAGAACACAACCUUGGUCCUAUCCUUCACUUCUGCUAUAUUUAAACUUCAAUUAGCCAAAUCUAACCCAUAAACCAUAGUCAAGUGUCUGAAUUAUAAAUGUUAUUAGCUAACAAGAUCAGUGCUUCCCCAUAAACCAAUAAAAACCAAACAAUGCCAAAGACGAAUUACUAGGUAGCAACAGAAAUUCUUAAAGGUGUUGAAAUUAGAAUCAUACUUAAAAUUACAUAUCAGAUCAUUACAUUUUCAAAUUCGAGCAUCCCUAAAUCAAACAACUUUAUUUGAUCACAGAAACAGAAGCAAAUCAAGGUGAGAAAUUAGUGUUUCGACGAAUGUGGGUUAAUUUUAUCUGACAGUGCAAGCAACAGCAUGAGCCCAAGUCUUGAGGUGUUCCUUCAUAGCCAUAUUAUCAUUGAGAUUGAACUGAUUCUUAUACCCAAAAUUCUCCUCCAGAAAAAUCCAAUCAUCCCAAGCAGCCUCUGCCUUCACAUGUAAACCCAAAUCAAGCUCACCAAGAAUCCUCCUCUUGUUUCUCUGCAGACCCCUCUUGCUUCUUGACCUCCUCCUCCUCCUCUGUUCCUUCUCUCUUGGACUUGAACUUGGACAGUAAUACUCCACCACUUCUGCUACAUCACCCUUAUCUGUCGACAUAGCAACUUCAGCACAUUUGGGUGUUAACGGAAUCAAAUCCCUAGCCUCCGAUUCCGGCUCGAUCUUCUGAUCUUCAACAAUUUGCAACACUGGCUUCAACACCUCCUCAAUUGCAUGCUCUUCUUUGACAUGAUUAGUGAAGUGACUACCCGAACCCGAAACAGAGGCUCUGGAAGAUAAGACGUUGCUGUAGAACCAGAGAGAGUCCAAGCUCUCCAUGAAAAACAAGUCUCAGAGGAGGAGGAGACUGAGGAGAGUACAGAGUAGCUUUGUAGUUGACGACAUCAGUCUUCUAUUUGGACGGACUCGCCUAAUUACGAAAUUGGCCUUGCGAGAUGCGCUCUUGGUGGGGGAUAGUGGAGGGUAGUUUGGUCCAGUAAGUGGGUGGGGGUAAGGGUAACGUUGCGGGACCGGUCCCGUUAAUCAAGGUGGAAAGUUACCCAACGGUCGAAAACAACGUGGGAAACAGAUAUGAUGGAACAUUAUUUUUCGCUUUACGAAAAUUUUAAAGAGUGAGGUGAAUUUUGUGGUCGACUUUUGACCUCUGAGUUAAUUGUAACGUAUUAAACUGGAAGAGGUUGAAGUAGAAUUUUGAGGAGGGGUCCUUAAUUACGUCAUUAAGUGAGUCAUUGUUUAGAAUAGAAAUCAGAAUCCAAAGAGAAAUGAGAGUCGACUAUGAUUGGUACUUUUCAGUUGGGCCCGACGGUGGGCCUAAUACCACGAGGCAAUUCUUACUUGUGAUGACCUGGGCCCAUGAAAUCAUUAUCAGCUUUGUGAUCCUUUUGUAGUGUUAAUUUGCACGUGUUGUCUGGCUUAGUGACACUGUCGGCUUUUCAUAUUGGGAUUUUGCUUCGUAUGUACAUGAACUCUUUUGUAUGUAACUAAUAAGGGGGUAGAGGUUUUAUGGUGGUUCGGGAUUUGAUUGCAUUGGGUGAUUGACAUUCUAAGAAAUGGAAAGUUCUUGCAAUAGUUUUUAUAUUCAUUGUGGCUAAGUAAAUAAAACAAAAACUAACUGAUAGAGAAACAAUAACAAAGUCGUCUCAAUUAGUGAACAUUAACGCACAACUACAUAAAGUAACAAAUCACCGAUGACACUAGCAAGACCUUCUAAACCACCGCAACUACAAUAGGCCUUAGUAGAUAUAUAAUGAAAUUUUUACUUAUUUGAUAGCCCUCAGGUGAUUGACAUAAUGUUAAGUUUAUCAUUGUUUGGAAUUAA